CAGGGCCUACACGCCUGAGGCCUAAGACCUGAGGCCUAAGACCUAGGGUCUGGGUACAUGUUUCGGAUUUUCAGAAACGUAAACUUUUUUUUUUUUUUUUAAUUUGUAAGAUAGGCUUUGUUUUGGCCUUGAGACACACUGGGCAAAAGGUGGUGAGAUGCAGUGAGGCCGCUGGUCGUUAGGGGGUGUGGUUAGUGGUUGGGACACGUGAGGAUGACGUCAGGAACGCACGGCCCAAUCAUCUUCCCUGUUCUCACUAGGCAGACCAGGUGGGCGGCUCUGCUCUGCUGAAGAUCGUUGCUUCCUCCCUGGCGUUUGUGCUGGGUGCCUGCGCAUUGAUUUUCGCAUUUUACCGUCGAGAGAAAGUCAUGAAAACCAAUUGCUUCCACAAACACACAAGGCUGGACGAAGCUGGAGGAAGUAAGAGAAGUGUCCUCGAUGACGACAUCCAGCAUGAAAGAGAAGACGAAGAUGGUCUUUUCACCCUAUAAUGUGUCACUUUUGCUUAGAACAGAGGACAGGGGCAGGACGUGUGAAUAGUUAAAAUUAAGUCUUCGAAUGUCUA